UUAGAGAAACAUCUUUUUCGUAGUAAGUGGCUGUUGCAACUUUGAAUUAUUGCCGUUUAUUAAGGGUUGAAAUUUUAUAUAACACAUAUCUUAGUGCUUAUGCCAUAGUUCUGCUCUGGGGAAUUUAGAAAGAAAAGGAGAGAAAAGAAUAGAAGAUAGAGAGAGAACGGAUAUUCUUUAUUAAUCUCAACUGAACAACUGAUGUCCAAUUACACAGGUACAUUUCCUAUGUAUAGUAUAAUCCAAUGACUGUUCUAGUAAUGCCCUAACUGCUUAACGACUUCAGUUACUUCCAGCUCAUUCAAUUCCUACGGUUAAAUCAGCUCACAACUUACUCACAUUCCCUCCAAAACCUAUCCUCUCUCAACUCCACCAUCUAUUCAUUUCUUCUAGCUCAUGGACUCUAUCUACUUAUGUGACAAUACCCUCCACUCUAAUACCUUCUUGUCCCCAAGAAGGUUUGAAUUCUGGAAUUUAAGCUGGAAUGAAUGCUUGAGCUUCCCCAGUAGUAUUCUUUUUAGUAACUGCAAACAUUUAAUGAGGUACUGAGUAACUGAAAUGUCAUUCCUCACAAUGUUUCGGAGUUGAAAUAAAUUCUUUGGAGCUACUUCCAAUUGACUGUCUACAAAUUGCUAGAAAUUAAAAAUAGACUGGAAUGGUUGUACUGACUGUCAAAACCCUCAAGAUCCUUCCCAUUCCUGUGCACUAGCUGUUGAAAGCUAGUGCAGGGCACCAUCCUAUGCAUUGUAGAAGUUUCAGUCAACCCUUGCAAAGUAAUGAAUCUACUUCCCUUCCUGAAAAAGACUUGGGAACGUUCAAAGUGAAACAUCACUGGAUUAAAGCUUUUCAUCCAAUCAACCCCUAAUAUCAUAUCAAAGCUAACCAAUUCCAAUACCCUCAAGUCAAAAAUAAACUGAUUUGGCUGUAUUUCCCAAUUAAACUGAUGACAAACACUAGUGCCCUCCAUCUUUCUCCCAUUUGCUACCGGAACAGUAAUUGUAGGAACCUCUACCAAUGCUAAUUUAAGUGCCUUGGCCACCCCAACAUCCAAAAAACUAUGAGUACUGCCACUGUCUAUCAAUAUCAGCAAUUUCCUGUUUUGAUGUCACCCCAUUACUUUGAUAGCUGCUGCUCCUUGGUUGCCUUACAAAGCAUGAAUAGAAAGAGUCAUGUCCUCUUGUUUCCAUUCAGCCUCCUCUUCCUCCUGAGAAAUAUCAUGGCAUUCCUCUCUUUUCUGACCUUUUUCCUGAGUAUAACAUUUCCCCUUAUCUGCCUUAGUGACAUGUAUUGCCAUCACUGAUUUCUGCUUGGAUACAUGACCAGGGAAAUACUUCUCUCCACACCUGUAACAUGGCUUAGGUUGUCUUAAACCAGCUGAAUUGUGUUGUAGGGGUAUUUUCAUUGCAGAUUGGUUUGAUGAAGGCUGACUGUUGCUAGGAUGUUUUAUGCUAGUUGAAUUGUGUUGUGGUGGUGUUUUCAUUGCAGAUUGGUAAGAUGAAGACUGGCUGUGGCGGGAUGGAAUGGUUUUGCUGGUUGUGUUUUGGAAUUUCAAAGUUGUAGUGAAAUUAGUGUUUGGUGGCUUUGGAGAAUUGGGAAAGUUCUGAUGUAACUGUGAAAUUUUGUAUGGCAUAACUGUAGGAUUAGGACUAGUAUUUGUCCCAAAGGGGCAAACUGGUUUAGGGUUGUAAUUAACUCGUCCACUACUUCCAAGGAGCUGCUCUUGAAGUUUAGCAACCUCAAAUGCAUGAUACAAAGUGGCAGGUCUCGUCAUCUUUACCAUAGGCCUAAUUUCAUCCGUUAACCUGCCAAAUCUGACAUAGAGGGCUUUUUUUAAAAUCUUCCCAAGAAUGAGACGCUUCCCUUGUAAUCCAAUUGUGAUACUAAGCAUCCGCCCUACUACUAAAAAUAGACUUGCAAUUCCCACCAUUUGUACCCAUUACUCUUCAAAAUACUUGGCACAUUUUCUUAGCCACGCCCUAGGUUCUUUCCCCUCAAAAGUAAUUAAUUCAAUCUUGGGUAAAAUUUUGGCCAUACCUUCAUUCUCAGCUACAGAUCCAUUGCUAACAAUUCCUCGUUGCUGGUUGACUUUCUCCUUUGG
rnacentral:misc_RNA from 1 species